GUCUCACUUGGAUGUACUCACUACAGGAGCUAAGCAGCGGCAGGUGGAAAAGUACAGUUGCUCCUUGAACACCAUGGGAGAGUUAGAUGUGCUGAUCUCACAGCUGAAAAUCUGCAUAUGAAACAACAAAUUCUAUGGCUGUUGACGCUGGUUGCUGACCUGACCAUUUUCAUCCCAGGAGGCUCCUGUGAAGUCGAACGACACCAUUGUUUUGUCAGUAAGGAACAAACAAAAGAGCAACAGAUAGAUAAAACCGUCGCUUCAUUCAAAGUUGCCACAAACAGUAAAUAGUCAUUUGCUUUUUUGGACUAAAAAUCUGACCUUGAAAUUUGAGGUCAAGAUAAUGUUGGAACCACAGAGAAUAAAAUAAGUUGCUGAAUAA